rfam:Arenimonas malthae CC-JY-1 contig11, whole genome shotgun sequence.
CACCUACCGCGGCCAACGCCGGGGGGCGUCGACCAGACUGAACAGGGGCUGGUCAGGCGCGCGGUGGGGAUGCCAGGGCCUGGAGCUCCCGGGGGGGAGCUCCAGGCCCUUUUUU